GGGCAGUUAGCUCAGUUGGUAGAGCAUCUCGUUUACACCGAGAGGGUCACAGGUUCGAGUCCUGUACUGCCCACCA
rnacentral:tRNA from 1 species